CAUAAAUACAGUUACUUGCACAUACAUAAUUGAAAAUUUCAAAAAUGGGAACGAAUGUAAUUUCUAAUAACAACGAAAAUUCAACCACUGUCAUGCAAGGCUUGUACAAUAAUUACGGCAAGAAAAUACUAUUGCAGCCGAUUAAGACACUAAACGAUGAAGUUUCCAACCGACAUAAAGAACGUUUACAAAAAAAUGAUGGAAUGCGUUAAAUUGCGCUGGCAAGAGUUUCACGGAAAUGGUCACAGUUUGCAAUGCUACCUAAUGAGGCGGUAAGAUGCUUCCAGUCAAGGCUGGUUUUGGGUAGGAAAGAGUGCGAGUAUGUUACAGUGUUUUGGUGAGGGACAUAGACUUUGUGGUGGUGGUCAAGUCGAGAUGAAACAAAAUUAGGCGUUUUAAUCAGUCGGGUCCUAAGAAUAUGGUUAUGAUGAUAGAUCUUAUGAAACAAGACCAAGUCAAGAUAGGUUCCGUCUAUCUGCAAACGGGGGCAGAUUAAGUAUCGAUUUCAUGUUAGUUACGCUGGAUGUUCGAUCGUAGUUACUUGGGAUAAAACAUGCUGAACGAUGCGGCAUUGCGUCUAAGUUAUUGGUAAGAGUUGCAAGGCCAGGGUCCCAGAUUGAUGAAGUAUAUUCGAAAUUAGAUCGGACAUAAGGAAUGUAUAACUGUCGCUUGAGUGAUGAAGGUGCGAGAGAGAAGUUUCUUUUCAGGUAAUCAAGCAUGUCAUUGGCCUUUGAUAUUGCGUGGUCGAUGUGGUACUUCCAUGAAAGGUCAUUAGUAAUAUGUACACCGAGGUAUUUGUAUGCAGUUACGGAUUCAAGCACAGUGCUGUGAAGAAGGUGGUUGGGGUAAGGUAUGUUAUUUCGCGAUACUCUCAUUGAUUUGCAUUUAAGGAUGUUAAGUUUCAUUUUCCAUAUUUCGCACCAAGCAGAAAUAUUAUUUAGGUCAGAUUGAAGGAUUGCUAUGCCAGUAUAGUUAGAAACGGUGCGGUAGAUAACGCAAUCAUCAGCAAAAAGACAGACACAAGAAGCGUUGCUGGUAAGUAAAUCAUUAAUGUAAAUCAAGAAUAAUAAUGGGCCUAAAACUGAGCCCGGUGGCACUCCGGAGGAAAGAGGUGCCUCUAGAGAAUCGGUUCCAUUCAUCGUGACUAAUUGAGUGUGGUUGGAAACAAAGUUGCGUAUCCCGUGUUCUACUAAAGGGUCAGCGUUUAGGCUGGUUAGUUUUAGCAUAAGGAGCUCAUGGUUUACACUGUCACAGGCUCUCACAAAACCCAAGUAUAUGCAAUGAGUGAUGAGGCCGGCGUAAAGGAAUGCAUGAAGGUCGUUAGUAAAUGUAAGUAGCUGUGCUUCACACGAAAAAUGCUUACGAAAACCAUGCUAGGAUGAAUGAAAGAAGUUAUUCGACUCCAAGAAGUUAGGUGAGUAAAGAUGACGUGUUCUAAUAUUUUGCACGGAAGAGGUGUUACUAAUAUCGCACGAUAAUUACUUUGUGUGCGUCACCAGACUUAUGGAAAGGCAUGACCUUGGCUACUUUCCAAUCCUUGGGUAAGCAUCUAUUGCUGAGCAAUUUGGUCGCAAUGUAAUUGAGAAUGAUAGAGCUGUACUUAUUAAUGUUUGGCAAGAAUUUAGCGUUGAUGCUAUCCCGGCCACAUGAAGCUUAAUUUGCUUAAUUUCCUCAUUAAGAAACAAUUUUUUAAUGGCUGACCCACAACUGUCCGAAACGUGGCCCGACCAGGAUAAGCUUGAAGUACAAGAGCUAAUCAGAAAGUCCUUGCCGCUAUUUUUUAUUAGCCAAAAUAUGGUACACAGGGGUAAUUACAAAAUGGGCACAGCGGAAGCUUUGAGGCCAUGCGUCUCACGUAUACGUUCUUGUUUCUUCUUCAGGCCGUGCUUUUUGCCAACCCUAGCGUUACACCGACCGAAGAACGCUACGAACCAUUUGCACUCGAUAUGACGGAGCAGCUUGUUCUACGGCACAGGCCAGGAUCACGCAAUCGCACCGACGAGCCCUGGGGCAUGCGCAUCUAGCCCACGUGGAUGGCUGCGCAUCGCCCACCAGCAUCAUCGACGUCAGCCCCUUGGGAGCGUAAAAGCUCGACUGCUUCGCGGUCACCUACCAGUGGGCACAGCGGAAGCUUUGAGGCCGUGCGUGUCACGAAUGCGUUCUUGUUUCUUCUCCAGGCCGUGCUUUUUGCCAACCCUAGCGCUGCACCGACCGAAGAACGCUACGAACCAUUUGCACUCGAUAUGACGGAGCAGCUUGUUUUACGGCACAGGCCAGGAUCACGCAAUCGCACCGACGAGCCCUGGGGCAUGCGCAUCUAGCCCACGUGGAUGGCUGCGCAUCGCCCACCAGCAUCAUCGACGUCAGCCCCUUGGGAGCGUAAAAGCUCGACUGCUUCGCGGUCACCUACCAGUGGGCACAGCGGAAGCUUUGAGGCCGUGCGUGUCACGAAUGCGUUCUUGUUUCUUCUCCAGGCCGUGCUUUUUGCCAACCCUAGCGCUGCACCGACCGAAGAACGCUACGAACCAUUUGCACUCGAUAUGACGGAGCAGCUUGUUUUACGGCACAGGCCAGGAUCACGCAAUCGCACCGACGAGCCCUGGGGCAUGCGCAUCUAGCCCACGUGGAUGGCUGCGCAUCGCCCACCAGCAUCAUCGACGUCAGCCCCUUGGGAGCGUAAAAGCUCGACUGCUUCGCGGUCACCUACCAGUGGGCACAGCGGAAGCUUUGAGGCCGUGCGUGUCACGAAUGCGUUCUUGUUUCUUCUCCAGGCCGUGCUUUUUGCCAACCCUAGCGCUGCACCGACCGAAGAACGCUACGAACCAUUUGCACUCGAUAUGACGGAGCAGCUUGUUUUACGGCACAGGCCAGGAUCACGCAAUCGCACCGACGAGCCCUGGGGCAUGCGCAUCUAGCCCACGUGGAUGGCUGCGCAUCGCCCACCAGCAUCAUCGACGUCAGCCCCUUGGGAGCGUAAAAGCUCGACUGCUUCGCGGUCACCUACCAGUGGGCACAGCGGAAGCUUUGAGGCCGUGCGUGUCACGAAUGCGUUCUUGUUUCUUCUCCAGGCCGUGCUUUUUGCCAACCCUAGCGCUGCACCGACCGAAGAACGCUACGAACCAUUUGCACUCGAUAUGACGGAGCAGCUUGUUCUACGGCACAGGCCAGGAUCACGCAAUCGCACCGACGAGCCCUGGGGCAUGCGCAUCUAGCCUACGUGGAUGGCUGCGCAUCGCCCACCAGCAUCAUCGACGUCAGCCCCUUGGGAGCGUAAAAGCUCGACUGCUUCGCGGUCACCUACCAGUGGGCACAGCGGAAGCUUUGAGGCCGUGCGUGUCACGAAUGCGUUCUUGUUUCUUCUCCAGGCCGUGCUUUUUGCCAACCCUAGCGCUGCACCGACCGAAGAACGCUACGAACCAUUUGCACUCGAUAUGACGGAGCAGCUUGUUCUACGGCACAGGCCAGGAUCACGCAAUCGCACCGACGAGCCCUGGGGCAUGCGCAUCUAGCCUACGUGGAUGGCUGCGCAUCGCCCACCAGCAUCAUCGACGUCAGCCCCUUGGGAGCGUAAAAGCUCGACUGCUUCGCGGUCACCUACCAGUGGGCACAGCGGAAGCUUUGAGGCCGUGCGUGUCACGAAUGCGUUCUUGUUUCUUCUCCAGGCCGUGCUUUUUGCCAACCCUAGCGCUGCACCGACCGAAGAACGCUACGAACCAUUUGCACUCGAUAUGACGGAGCAGCUUGUUCUACGGCACAGGCCAGGAUCACGCAAUCGCACCGACGAGCCCUGGGGCAUGCGCAUCUAGCCCACGUGGAUGGCUGCGCAUCGCUCACCAGCAUCAUCGACGUCAGCCCCUUGGGAGCGUAAAAGCUCGACUGCUUCGCGGUCACCGACCAGUGGGCACGGCGGAAGCUUUGAGGCCGUGCGUGUCACGAAUGCGUUCUUGUUUCUUCUCCAGCUUUCCCCCGUUUCAUGCCUUGCAAAGCCCUUCUGACCUUCGUCGCACGUGGUGGUAUGGUAACGAGCGACAACCAGCAGCGGAAACAGAUUGGCCAGAGUGUCCCACUAGAGUCACUGGAAAAAAUUUCAGAGUACCGCAAAGGUCGGGAUUUGACUGGCAACACUGAGCGGCCACCGCCAUAUACCUUCCAAGCCGACUGCGUCGCAGGAAGGCCGCCGUGUUGGAAGAGCUUGAUAUUCGGGCACGCAUCGGGUUGAGUGUUUACUGAAGUACAAAUACUUUGUGCCCGGAGAUAAUGGUUGCUAAGAACGAAAAUAAAAUGUUAUGUUGUG